UUAAAGGGUGGGCUCAGUUCAGCGCACACUGUGUCUCACCGAUAAAAUCCAUUGCGCAGGCUCGAAGGCCUUACCCGCAUUUGCGAAGUCCUGUAUCACCAGCGCGCUUGUAAUAAACGUGGGUAGAGACCUUUCCCAAAUCUUCGUUCAAGAAGACUGGCCAUGAAUGAAUGAAUGAAAGUUCCCACAAAUUGGAAAACUUAAACAGAAACCCCCACGUCACUGGGAAUUCUGCUGAACUUUGCUAAUUUGUUGAACUUCAGUUAUAAACAUUUAUCAUUCACUCCAGUGGUCUGAAGAACCCCUGAGCAAUACAAAUGAAGUGUCAGGAGAAAAGACAAAUAUUUUCUCUAUUUAAUCUGAAGCUUGAUCCAGGCCAGAGGCAUUUUUAUGCCUAUGGCAGGAAACUAUCUUCCAUAUUUCAUUUAAAGCAGCAAUUAACUGGUUCAGAUUAAUUAUCCAUUUGUAGCCUAGCUCAUGUUUUAUUGUUCAUUUUAAACUUUUCAGAUUCUCAUCCUUAUCUUUCAAAAUGACAUCCAGGUAAUCCUUGAGCAAAGCCUGAGUCCUUAUUUAUUCCUCUGCCUCCUUCACUGGAGCUCAUGCCUGAAAUAUAGCAGCUACACUGGUUUUGGAGAUGUUUUACCCUCUGCUCACAGCUGACAGCUCUGCUGGUGAAAGUAAUUAUUCAGAGGAACUGGAACAUCACAAAGCUCAGGAAGGACCGAAACAUUUAAUCCACCGCAGUCGCUCAUACUGUGCUAUCAGCAGCAAGAAGGUGCAACCAGGUUAUAGUGGUCACUGAAGCUCCAGAGAAUGCUUCACAUAACAACAGCCAGACUAUGGUAACAGAGGAUGGUAUCUUCUGGAUUAAAAAAAGGAAUUAACGUAAUACAGGUGUAUGAGAAAAGUUUCAAGCAUUCUGUCUGCCACUGACUUUAAACUUUUUUCUACAUUUCUUUGCUUUAGAGCUCUUAUUGUGUGCUACUUUUUCUGCCAAAUUAUAAUUAUUUUAAAUUGUGCUCUCAAGACAUAACAAAAUCCCAAAGGUAAUUUUGCAUAAACAUCAACAGUGGUAUGUAGUGGAUUAUACAACAGUAAUGCAUCUAACAAGUCAUAUGCCUAAACCCAAGUUUCAGGACAAAGGAGAAGAGCAGCAAGCUAAAAGUGAGUAGGGCAACAGAAGGUCUGAUAUUGACUGUUAUACAUCUCUAUACCACAACAUAGCUACAAAUACAACAGACGUCCACUAUAUGGUAGAUUUCUACUGUAUUUACACUGAAACACAUUCAUUCUUAUACCAGCUUUCUAAAUAAUCAGCUCGUCACUUCAUUAGCAAUUCCUAAAGACUCAUGCAAUGACUUCUCUUUGCUGUGUAUCCGCAACCAAGGGUACCAGGCACACAUACAAGUAGGGUUUAUUUUCCUACCCCAGAAGUAUUAUGAACCUAAAUGCAGCAUGGAAGUAAAUUGACCAGUUAUGCCUCUUGUCCAGACCACUCUGAACAAACUGGAAACUAAGGAAAAUCACUCAUUCAGUCUGUCAGAGGCUUUCAAAGUAAUUAUUAACUCAAAUCUAAAAAAUCUAAAAUUUGCUGCAAUUAAGUUAGCUGCCUCAGAAUCUAACAUGAAGCACAAUCAUGUGCUCUUAAACAUCCAGAGCUGUGGGCAAAUAAGAGAUCCUAGAUAUAAUAUUAUUAUUUUUUACGGAAAUGUUAAGAAACUUCUAAGCAUCUUUUUCUUGGGAUGUCUUUGUUGGAUCAGAAAAUGUUCCAACUUAGGAUCCAUUAUUACUGAGGUACUUUACAAUCUAUACAACAUAUUGUGAUGCUUAAGAACAGGUUUCUUUAAUUGAGGAAUUUGGCAGUAAUUUGAAUGAGGCAGUAGGUAAAAAAUUGCUGUGAUUCUAUUGGAAAGAGAGCUCCCUUGCAGCCAUGAGAGCAAAUCACCAUGGAAACUUUUUGCUAAGAUGAUAUUAAAGCACAGCACGUACACUUACAUCUCUCCUUUUGUAAUAAGCAGUAUUUUGUGAUACAGUCUGGAGUGACUGAGUAAAAGGGCUAUUUGCACAGCAAGAGACCAGGACUUACUCAGGACUACUGCAGAAUUUUGCUAUGCUCCGGAGCUGGCCAGUUGACAGUAUAUCUUGUUACAGAAGAAAAGUAUUAGGAGAUGAAUGGAUCUUAUCCAACCAACUUGGUAAAGUCAAGUUGAUAAACACACAGGAAAAAUAGGUUUGUGAACUGGCCUCAAACUAUUUUAUCACCAUGAGAAGCUAACUAAGUGUUUUCAUGUUGUCAUAGAAUGAUCUGUUUUUCCAAUCAGGAUA